UACGUAGGGUGCGAGCGUUGUCCGGAAUUAUUGGGCGUAAAGAGCUCGUAGGCGGUGUGUCGCGUCGGCCGUGAAAACCUGCAGCUUAACUGUGGGCUUGCGGUCGAUACGGGCAUCACUGGAGUUCGGCAGGGGAGACUGGAAUUCCUGGUGUAGCGGUGAAAUGCGCAGAUAUCAGGAGGAACACCGGUGGCGAAGGCGGGGUCUCUGGGCCGAUACUGACGCUGAGGAGCGAAAGCGUGGGGAGCAAACAGG
rnacentral:rRNA from 1 species